rnacentral:pre_miRNA from 1 species
UUAAUACUCCCUCCAUUCGGAAUUACUUGUCUCGGAAAUGGAUGUAUCUAGAACUAAAAUACGUCUAGAUACAUCCAUUUCUGCGACAAGUAAUUCCGAACGGAGGGAGUAAUAU